UUCUCAAAGGCACACCUUGGACAAUCUUCAAGAAGGACUAAAGAUUUUCACUUAUGGAUUCAGGUACGCUUCUGCUCAUGUUGUUAUUCCAAGUAAUUCGAUAUGAAGGCUAAAGUGUUUUAUAUUUGGAUUCAUUCCAUCAAUUGGUAUCAGAGCCUCCUUCAUAUUUGGAUUAUUUGGAAGUUCAUGAAAUCCAUGUUAUAUAAAGUUUAUGAUUAAGUUAAAAUGGAAUUUUGAUUAUGAAAUUCUAGUACCAUGAUAUAGCAUGAUUUCAUGAAUGAUAUGUUGUUGAUGAACUCUGGUGUUCAAUAUCUUGUUGUCUCUAGAUGAAUUGAAAUAUUGAAAUUUGCAUAAUUUUUGUUGAUGAUCAACAUGGUUUCUUGUUUAAGUUUCUUGUUGAAAACCAUAUUAAGUCAUUGGACAGAAUAGUAAGAUAAUCGACUAUCUUGAAAGGUUGACCAAAAUUUUGCAAAACAGUAGCACAGAAUAAUCGACUAUUUUUAUGAAAUAAUCGAUUAUUCUGUUU
rnacentral:lncRNA from 1 species